rnacentral:rRNA from 1 species
UACGUAGGGGGCAAGCGUUGUCCGGAUUUAUUGGGCGUAAAGAGCGUGUAGGCGGCUAGGUAGGUCCGUUGUGAAAACUCGAGGCUCAACCUCGAGACGCCGAUGGAAACCAUCUAGCUAGAGUCCGGAAGAGGAGAGUGGAAUUCCUGGAUGUAGCGGUGAAAUGCGCAGAUAUCAGGAAGAACACCCGUGGCUAAGGCGGCUCUCUAGUACGGUACUGACGCUGAGACGCGAAAGCGUGGGAGCGAACAGG